UCACUCUCUUGCUCUCUCUCAAAAACAAAAAAACAAAACAAAACAAAACAAAAAAAGCAUGUGUCUGGCAUCUUGAUGGAAUGGCAUCCCUUAUGACCAAAAUUUCCUUUGGAGGAUGUGAGCACUUUUCCCUGCACCGGUUCAGAGCUGCACAAGGAGGACAAUUACAAAUCCCAAUACUGCCUAAUUCAGGCAGAUGAGGAGCCAAUUCCAGAGAUGCCGGAAGGGGAUCUGGGCCAAGACUCCCAAGUGACGACACUGAAAGGAAAGCCUCCGGACACCCAUUCCCAGCCAUCCUGCACAUAGGCCUGGGACAGCAGGCUGGAUCAGACCUCAAGACCUCUGAUUUCCACCUGUUGGAGGAAGUCAUCGAGCAAUAUGAGCACUGGUUGACCUUCAAGCUGGACCCCAGCAAUUGGACAGUCCUUGCCCCCUUCCUUAUCUUUGAAAUGUACAUCCUAUGCACCAUUCCCACACUAGCAGCCACUUCAAGGUUGCAGCCUUAAGAGAGCAGUGUGUUGUUGAGACCAUCUGGACUGAAUACAUGACAGAACUCAGCUAAGGCCUCUAUAUAAACUUAAGAUUCAGGGUGGCAGGGGCAGAGAUCUACUCAUCCUGAGGCCACCCAAGACAGACCUCAUAUCUAAGUCUCUUUGCUUAUUAAACCUGUCACCUACUAAUCUGGAGUGUUCUGCCUCUUCCUUCUGUCUUUCCUCACCCCUGUGUAUCAGGGCCAGUUUCAGAUUUCACUUAGGAAACUUCCGAGAUUUCAAACCAACAUCACCUGACUUCGAAUAUCUCCCAUAAUCCAUAUAUAUACAAAUACUCUUAGAUAUUUAGCCAGUAGUCUUAUUUUGAUUUUUACCAUAAAGUCUUUUGGCCAUCUGGAAAUUAUCUUUAUUUAUACAGUCUAUUUUCCACCACUGCAAUGUCCUUGUCAUAUUUUACUUUCUUAUAUAUAUGUAUGCGUAAUCAAACAGUAUAUGUCCUCAUUAAGACAUUUGCUUGCUUCCAAACAUUACCGAAGAGUGUAAGAAUCACAGCAGAAUUGGGUGCUAUUGAGGAUAAUCGCUAAAUUCCACAGCAACAACACGAAAGAAGAAAUUCUUGGCCAUUCGACUGGGGUGAGAGGCAAAACCCGUUUGAUGUUAGCGAAAGAGACAUUAGAGGGGAGACUGGGAACAUCAAGAGGUGACCCCUCUGGAAAAUCCUCGUCUUGUGCAGAAAGGAGGAAGAUGUUUAACUUGUCCCACCUGACUCCUCCCUAAGUUUAGGUCUGCCUACAGUCAUGUGUCUAGAUAGUAAUGAGCUUCUUAACUGGCUGAACAUGUCAGGUUCUUGUGGCACAAGAGAAAAUACAAGAGAAAGAUAGCCAGAGCUAAAAGAAGGUGCAGUAGCCUAUAUCCCACUGUUUAUUGACACCAUUUUCCAUGAAUUUCCUGUGAGUGUAAUGAGUUUGUCUAGAUUCUGAACCAACUUGUCUGAACCUACACCUGCCUCCAAAGAGCUGCUACCUAGGAGGGGUUCCUAGCAGCAAGAGGCUGUGGAGUGGUCCAAGUGUGGGCUCGGUGAGGAGGAAGACACUGCACCCAAGUCUUCCAGGAAACUGUAGGUGGAAGGUUCUGCAGCCCCUGAAGAAACCACCAACACACCAUCAUGAGAAAGCAAGCAUUUGAAUAUCUGCUGCUGAGAUGUAAUCUCUAGCCAGGCAGAGAUAACCAACAAGAAGAGGCAGGAACCUCUCCUUCCCAAUCUGGGGCUGUUCACAUAGAGGAAGAGUAGUCUAACCACCAGGGAAAUAAGGCUGCUCAGCCCAGGAGAGAAUGAGAGUUCCUUAUUCUCUGUCCAGCCUCUGAGGGGUGACAAGGGAUGAAGUCUGGAAGGACAGCACAGUCCACCUGUCAUUGGAGCUACUGGAGCCUUCCACUGGAGGAGGAGGGCACAGCUUUGAGUCUACAUGAGUAGAUGGCCAACGGAAAGUGGAGCAGCAUCCCCAGCCCACAAGUACCUAGGAGGGAGAGGAUCCUAUUUUUAAUGGCUGUGACAGAAGACUGUUGGUUUUUAUGUUCCAGACACAAUGCUGGGAAAGACCUUGUCCUUAGAGCUUUCCUUAUUCCAGAGCUCAAGCAGAAAACAAGAGUAAGAGCCCCAACCAGUAAGAAGAACAUGGCACUCUGCAGGACACAGAGAGCAGAAUGAAGACCACCCAAGCUUCCAAACCAAAAGGGGCAGAAAAAUCUAGAGCAGUGAACCACUCCCACUGAACAUCGUCGGUUCCAGGCCUCCAAACUGAAUCCUCAGAGACUCCAGGAAGAAGUAAGAAUAGAGAUUCCCCUGAGAACUUCACUUAUGCUCCUGUGUGUCCAGCUAAACUGGUCAAAUGGACAGCCACCAAUGGAACAGAGCCCUCCUGACCUGAAAGUUCAGGAAAGAAAGAGCUUCACAGUGAACUGCAGUUACGGAGAAAAUACUUUGGGUUUCUUCCUGUGGUUGAGGCAGGAUCCUGGGGAAAGCCUCCACAUUCUGAUAGAAGUGCAAUCAAACGAGAAGGAGAAGGUCAGUGGAAGAUUCACAGCCAGUCUUAACAGAGAGGAUCAGUGCUUUUGCCUGCACGUGAACGAUUCUCACCUCCAUGACUCAACCACGUCUCUGUGCGCAGCGAGUAACACUGUGCUACUCAGGCACCUGUACCCUGCGCCCAAGCUCUACUCAGCACUGCGCCCUCUUCUACAAGGGCUCCAGGGCACUGACUUUAACUCUGAGGAAAGGGAAACACGAGGGGCUUUUUAUAAGCUGAUGUCAAAUAUUUCAUUUGAAGAUCAUGGGCAGAGGGAUGAUGUUUUCAAAUACCAUCUAAUGUAUUUUGUUUCUCAGUGUGAAGUCUUUACUCUGUUAAAACUAGUCCAAAAUCCUGAGGCUCAAUAUGAGAAAGGAGAAAGAACCAAAGAACAAAGAGAGAACAGAAUAAAAUUUUGCCCUUGAGCUCCUUUGUAGAUUUUUACAAAUAUACUGAAAAUACAAAAUCUUAAAAGCCAUGACCGUCAAAUUCAGUAGUGAAAGAAAAUAGAUUUUGACAUUCUGAAAAGACGGGCUUAGAAGAUCAAGUACCAAAAGCUGAGGGAAAAUGGUUUAAAGUUUAUAAAGGGCAGAGUGUAAAGAUGGCACAGUAUGGUUGAAAAUCUGGUUCCUCCCGAAAAGAGGAUACAAUUCCAACUGACUGGCUAGGGAAGAGUCAAAGGAGGUAUAGCCAGAAGUUAUAAGCCAGUUGUCUUUGAAAAGUGCCCCACAUCAUCUCUUCUCUAGGGUCAGAACCCUGAGCAGGUGAAUGGGCGGAGGGCAAGUCACACUUGGGGUGACCAUGAACCGACGAGCAGUGAGUGUAAACACAGCGUUUGGAUCAUUGUGUCUCACAUCAGUACCCACCACAGAGCAUCCACUACAAGGAAGUGCCCAACAACCAU